CUGCUACUGAAGCUGGUGUGGAAUCUUCAGGUACUGGCCAAUGCUCCAAUGCAGAGGAAACUUCUGCUUCUGCCGCUCAUGUAUCAUCAUCUGCUAUUGAAGCUGAUGAUGUGCCGUGGAAUCUUCAGAGACCGGCCAGUGUUCCAAUGCAGAGGAAAAAUCUGCUUCUGCCGCUCAUGUAUCAUCAUCUGCUAUUGAAGCUGAUGACGUGCCUGUGGAAGCUUCAGAGACCGGCCAGUGUUCUAAUGCAGAGGAAAAAUCUGUUUCUGCCGCUCAUGUAUCGUCAUCUGCUAUUGAAGCUGAUGACGUGCCGGUGGAAUCUUCAGAGACCGGCCAGUGCUCCAAUGCAGAGGAAAAAUCUGCUUCUGCCACUCAUGAUGCAACUCCUCUGGACGUUGAGGAACAGGUGAAAGUGAUCGGUGACGACUCUACAAUGGAUGCUGAAG
rnacentral:lncRNA from 1 species